rnacentral:rRNA from 1 species
CCUACGGGUGGCUGCAGUAGGGAAUCUUCCGCAAUGGGCGAAAGCCUGACGGAGCAACGCCGCGUGAGUGAUGAAGGUCUUCGGAUCGUAAAACUCUGUUAUUAGGGAAGAACAAAUGUGUAAGUAACUAUGCACGUCUUGACGGUACCUAAUCAGAAAGCCACGGCUAACUACGUGCCAGCAGCCGCGGUAAUACGUAGGUGGCAAGCGUUAUCCGGAAUUAUUGGGCGUAAAGCGCGCGUAGGCGGUUUUUUAAGUCUGAUGUGAAAGCCCAC